AACGAACGCUGGCGGCAGGCUUAACACAUGCAAGUCGAACGCCCCGCAAGGGGAGUGGCAGACGGGUGAGUAACACGUGGGAACGUGCCCUAAGGUUUGGAAUAUUCUCGGGAAACUGGGAGCAAUACCAAAUGUGACCGCAAGGUGAAAGAUUUAUCGCCUUUAGGAUCGGCCCGCGUCAGAUUAGGUAGUUGGUGGGGUAAUGGCCUACCAAGCCGACGAUCUGUAGCUGGUCUGAGAGGACGACCAGCCACACUGGGACUGAGACGACGGCCCAGACUCCUACGGGACGGCAGCAGUGGGGAAUCUUGGACAAUGGGCGCAAGCCUGAUCCAGCCAUGCCGCGUGAGUGAUGAAGGCCCUAGGGUUGUAAAACUCUUUCGUGGGGGACGAGUAAUGACGGGUACCCCAAG
rnacentral:rRNA from 1 species